rnacentral:rRNA from 1 species
UAGAGCGGCGGACGGGUGAGUAACACGUGGACAAUCUGCCCCCCGGCCCGGGAUAGCCCAGGGAAACCUGGAUUAAUACCGGAUGAGACGGGACCUGCGAUGGCGGGAUCCGGGAAGGCGCUACGGCGCCGCCGGGGGAUGAGUCUGCGUCCCAUUAGCUAGACGGCGGGGUAACGGCCCACCGUGGCGACGAUGGGUAGCCGGCCUGAGAGGGUGGACGGCCACAUUGGAACUGAGACACGGUCCAGACUCCUACGGGAGGCAGCAGCUAAGAAUCUUCCGCAAUGGGCGAAAGCCUGACGGAGCGACGCCGCCGUGAACGAAGAAGGCCGUGAGGUUGUAAAGUUUCUUUUCGGGAGGGGGAACAACCGUGGCAGGGAAUGGCCGCGGGAUGACGUGAAUCCCGGAAUAAGCCCCGGCUAACUACGUGCCAGCAGCUGC